CACGUAGGGGGCAAGCGUUGUCCGGAUUUAUUGGGCGUAAAGAGCUCGUAGGCGGUUCGAUAAGUCGGGUGUGAAAACUCUGGGCUCAACUCAGAGACGCCACCCGAUACUGUCGUGACUGGAGUCUGGUAGGGGAGUGUGGAAUUCCCGGUGUAGCGGUGAAAUGCGCAGAUAUCGGGAGGAACACCAGUGGCGAAGGCGGCACUCUGGGCCAGUACUGACGCUGAGGAGCGAAAGCGUGGGGAGCGAACAGG
rnacentral:rRNA from 1 species